UACGAAGGGGGCUAGCGUUGCUCGGAAUCACUGGGCGUAAAGCGCACGUAGGCGGAUUGCUAAGUCAGGGGUGAAAUCCUGGAGCUCAACUCCAGAACUGCCUUUGAUACUGGCGAUCUCGAGUUCGGGAGAGGUGAGUGGAACUGCGAGUGUAGAGGUGAAAUUCGUAGAUAUUCGCAAGAACACCAGUGGCGAAGGCGGCUCACUGGCCCGAUACUGACGCUGAGGCGCGAAAGCGUGGGGAGCAAACAGA
rnacentral:rRNA from 1 species